UACGUAGGGUGCAAGCGUUGUCCGGAAUUAUUGGGCGUAAAGAGCUCGUAGGCGGUUUGUUGCGUCGGCUGUGAAAACCUGAGGCUCAACCUCAGGCCUGCAGUCGAUACGAGCAGACUAGAGUGUUGCAGGGGAGACUGGAAUUCCUGGUGUAGCGGUGAAAUGCGCAGAUAUCAGGAGGAACACCGGUGGCGAAGGCGGUUCUCUGGGCAUUACCUGACGCUGAGGAGCGAAAGUGUGGGGAGCGAACAGG
rnacentral:rRNA from 1 species